rnacentral:lncRNA from 1 species
GGUUGAAUUGCUGCAUAUAUUUGCAGAAACCAUUGUUAGAUUACUAGUAAAGCAUAUGUAUGGGUCCAAAAACCUGGACCACUAAAUGCAAAGAGAAGUGGUACGCAGAGCAAAGGAAAACCCUAGUGUGCAAGACCCCAAGAGGCAUACAAUUGUGGAGAGUUUGGAAAAUGGGAGUGUUGGGCCAUUAAUUAUCACCAUUUUCAUCAAAGAAAAUGGGAUGAGGUAGGUGAGUAUUGAGUUGAAAUUCUUGGACAUGAAAAAUCUUGAAGGUUGGUGUUGGUGCAGAGUUUAGCCCAUAUAAAAGUUUGCUUUUUGUGCUGAAUUUGAAGAUUCAAAGAAAAUGGGAACAUGGCAAUUAUGCAUAUACAUAUCUUCAACGUUGCAGAAGCAAAUUGAAGAUGGCGCAUUAAGCGGUGACCAAUUUGAGCGUCACUGUUUAUAGUGACAGUGACGGAGGAGGAGGAGCUGUUCCCUUGAACGUGGAAAAGAAAGAAAAAGAUGUUGUAACUUUUCAAUUUAGCAGACUUUAGUAAAAUUGAACCUUUAUUUUUUCUUUCUGUUUUUUUUUUUUUUUUUUUUUUUUGCUUUCUUUUUCAAAUGCACCACAUGGUUUCUAUUUCUUGUCCAUUAAAAGGAGCUCAAGACUAAGUACAACCUUUUCUUUUUAAUGGGAUUUGUUGUCGAAAGAUGAAUCCUCACCUGGGUCAGUAUUUAAGAACUUUUAGGGAUCCAACGUCG